GCACUCCGGAGAAGCUCACACGAGUGCCGAAGGUGCAACGCACAAAUUUUUUGUGCCAAUCUCUCAGGCAAAAGGACGGAGAA
rnacentral:ncRNA from 1 species